ACAGUACAAACUGAGCAGGCAGUGGACACAUCGUCCAUGUGCCGGGUUACCUUAUGGUGGCAGCAGAUGAAAAGCUAACAUCUGCGGGACAGU
rnacentral:ncRNA from 1 species